rnacentral:rRNA from 1 species
UACGGGGGGGCAAGCGUUGUUCGGAAUUACUGGGCGUAAAGGGCUCGUAGGCGGCCAAUUAAGUCAGACGUGAAAUCCCUCGGCUCAACCGGGGAACUGCGUCUGAUACUGAUUGGCUUGAGUUCGGGAGAGGGAUGCGGAAUUCCAGGUGUAGCGGUGAAAUGCGUAGAUAUCUGGAGGAAUACCGGUGGCGAAGGCGGCAUCCUGGACCAUUACUGACGCUGAGGCGCGAAAGCUAGGGGAGCAAACGGG